rnacentral:rRNA from 1 species
UACGUAGGGUGCGAGCGUGUCCGGAAUUAUUGGGCGUAAAGAGCUUGUAGGCGGUUUGUCGCGUCUGCCGUGAAAAUCCGGGGCUCAACCCCGGACUUGCGGUGGGUACGGGCAGACUAGAGUGUGGUAGGGGAGACUGGAAUUCCUGGUGUAGCGGUGAAAUGCGCAGAUAUCAGGAGGAACACCGGUGGCGAAGGCGGGUCUCUGGGCCGAUACUGACGCUGAGGAGCGAAAGCGUGGGGAGCGAACGG